UGCAGCCCUAAGGGGAAAUAUACACCCAGCCGCCACAAAGACAUCAGCAGCCAGCACUGCCCAUCGCCGCUGCUCGCCUCGCCCACCGCCGAUCGCCGCUGCUCGCCUCGCCCACCGCCUCGCCCACCGCUGCUGCUCGCCUCGCCCUCCACCGCUGUUCGGCUCUGCUCUCAUCGUCGAACGUAGAACGCAGACACCUCGCCGACCCCUUCUCCGCAGAUCGACGCCGCUCCGCUGUGCCCAUCGCCGCCGCUCCGCCGCAGACUGACGCAGCUGCCUGCUAGCAAAUUAUAUCACUAAAGCUUAUGGAUAUUACAAUAUGUGCUUGGGACAUUCUCCUGGUGAAGCAAGGCCAUGGUGCAAGGCGAAGCUUCCCUUACUCUAUGACUAUAUCCAAAGUCAUUAUUGACAUUCUGAUAUUGUUGCGAGCGCAAGAGUCGGUGACUUUUUUCCCCUUCAUCUCGCAGUACUCACUACUAAAUACAGAAUAGAGUGAAUUGAUCCUAAGGCUCAAAUUAUAUGGUAUAGUGAAACCUUGGUUGCGGUCUUGAUCAUAUGCAACUGUUUCAUUAUUGCUCAUUCAGGAGUCAAGUACUCAAGCUCAAACAAGUACAGAUGUUGAAUUGUUUGCAUGCCCAGUUUGUUAUGAACCACUAAUAAGCAAAGGUCCUUUCGGUUUUAAUUUACCAGCAAUCUAUAGGUCUGGAUUCAAAUGCAAGAAGUGUAACAAGACAUAUUCGAGUAAAAAUAUCUAUGUCGAUCUGACUGUUACUGCUGGAACAAAGGAGUUCAAUGAAUUUAAACCCGCUAGAACUGAGCUAUUCAGUAUAACUGGCCAAAGACUGGUGGCCUUGCCUUCUAUAGGAGUCUGCUUGUUUCCUUCUUGUAUGAGAGAGGCUGGCGUCAAAAUUUUAACCGAAGCAGUUUUCUCGGUCCUGAUGAAGAGGUGGGUGGAGGAGAUCACGUUGAUGGUUUCAAGACUUUGAUUUUGUUAGACUUCCAAAA